AACAUUAACUUGAACAAUGACGUGGUGUUUGUUGUUAGUGGGAGAAAGAUGUAUUGCUUACCUGGUGGAAGAAAAGUACCGGCAUUAGGUAUAUCCACAAGAGAAGGGGCCUGCACAAGGAGAAAUAUUAUUUUCAUCGUGCACAACGACCAUCCUCACUCCGGACCUUUUGCAGCUGCUCAUGAGCUCG